AAAAAAGAAGCCCGGCCCAGUAGCCCACGCAGUCGUCCGUCUUCCUCCACAUCCCCGUCUCCAAGAACACGGGUGGGGGGAAAACCAAUCCGCCGCCGACGCCGCCCCCUCAUCCCCGUCUCUCCCAAUCUUUUCUUCCCUCUCCCGCACCCCGUGGCUUCCGCCGUGGGCCGAUUGAGUGUUCCAGAAUUCUUCGUCCGCCGUCCGUCCCCGCACUCACGCACGCGUACACCUAUCUUCCUCCUUCGCCUGGUUCGUGUACGGCUCAGAGCGGAGCAGGGGACUGAUCGAUGUAAGGUUCGGCUUCCAAUCCAUCCAGGCCGCCGGCCGGUCCACCGAGGGGAGAGUCCAAGUCGUCCAGGCGAAACCCUAGACGCCGCGGGGAUGGAGCAUCUCCGCCGCCUCGCCCAGUUCUUGCUCGCCUCAGCUCGCGGGGAUGGAGCAGGACGGCGCCGCCCAGGCCCAGGACGACGGCGCCGUGGACGGCUGGGCGCACGACGGCACGGAGACUCCUCCCCUACAGCACCCCGGCGGAGUGCCCCGGGGCCGUUGACCCCCCUCCUUGCCGGCGUCUCCGCCGCCGCCUCCGCGCAGCCGCUCGUGAGCGACCCUCAACUACGACUCGGUGGGGAGGAGCCCUUCGACGACCUUGACGCCUGCUCCGUCGACCACAACCACUGCUUCCGCAAGAAAGCCGCAUGGAUUGGGGAUAUGUACUUCGGUUUGGGUUCAUCAAAAGCGGCAAUUUUUGCGCAUUUGUAUUAACUAUCGAGGAUCUCAAGUUCACAUGGAUCACACUAUGAUCAAGUGCAUUCUAGUGCUGUGAUGAUUGUGACGGAAAAUGUUAGCAGCAGAAGCAAUCGCUACGUCUCAGCUCCAAUAUUAAAAAUCAGUGCACCUGAACUGCGACACAAUUUUUCUCAUUUGGAACUGCGGUUAUAAGGUAUCUAAUCUGAAAGCGAAAUCAUCAGGAUUUUGACCUCCAUACGAAAUCUGCAAGGGUAACAACAACAAAGGAAACUGGUGUAAGAUUGAGUACUAAGGCUCGAAGAUGAGCUACCAUCAAGAUUAUGUCUCGACAAUGAAGUAUAGUGAUUUUUUUUACCGAACUCACAGAAGUAGAUUGUGUAUCCCAUGCAACGUUCAACCUAAUGGACAUCGAGGGAACCACUUUGAGUACGCAAUUGUUUGUGUGGAGGAAAAUGCAUGGUACUAAAGCUAACCUUCCUCUGGUCCAGAUGAAAUCAAGGCAACUGGGUCUUCUAUCUUCAAGCAUCAAUUUGUUAGUUUUUCUUGGCUUCAGUGCAUCCCCUCAUAUUACUGUUUUUAAACUACAUUGCAGUGUGCUAAUUAUUUUCUAAAAAAAUUACAGUGUAUUAAUUAAGUAAAACUUAUUUGAAGUAGAUGUAGCACGACCUUUAGGAUUUUGCACACAGACCACACCAAUUUCGAGUAGUCGUACUUCUACAUAUCUGCUCACCAAAUAAGCUGCAUGGUUAUUAUGAACGUGGUAAACUCUGAAGCUAUUUUCUUUAUUAGUCCGAAAAGAAACUGAACUAUUUGUGUGGGGCCAGAGAAGCGUACUUUCAAUAAAAAUUGCAAUUGAUUGGGCAAGAGAAAUCAACUCAAUACUGCAAUUUUCCAUAUGAAGUAGUAAGACUACCCACAGUGGGAGUAACAUAGGUCGUAACAUCACACAUAUCUAGGCAAAAUAGAUGUUCUGGCAAGUAAUUAAUGAAGAAAGAGAGUCAUGUGGUAACAUAGCUAAUUACUAGUAGUAUGAGUAACAUCACACAUAUCAAGGCAAGAUGAGUCUACAACCUAAUAAAUGAAGUGUUGCAUGACACCACAUAUAUGUUACUCCCCAGUAUAGAGGUAGUAACAUAGACUAGUAACAUAUGCAUGUUACUAGUCUAAGUUACUCCCCACUGUGGCUAGUCUAAGAGGAGGCGUACCAUUGUAAAUCGAUGUAGGCUGAAGGCUAGUUGCAUCUUUGGCGUGUGAUCAAACCCGGCAAGUUGCAACUAUGUGGAGCAUCCACACUACUGCCACCACAUGCUUGCUAAAACGCUGAUCUAACCUUCCCUGUACAUCGGCCACAUAUUCGGCGAGAAUGUUUGAUGGCAAGCUGGGGCAAUUGUUGUUGUAUUGAGUAUCCAGAUGAUAACCGUCAUGAAAAUCACGACAUGGAUCGAUGUGCCCAUCAUGUUUGGUAGUAGAUGAUGCAUUAUUUGAGCUUGAUAGAGUAUGAUUAUAUCCCACACGGUCUUGUUUGCAUCAAAAGUGUGGCCCACUUUGGGUUUGGGGAAGAAUGCACCAACCAUUUUGGUAGUGGGCAUCUCAACAGUUAUUUGGGCCUCAUUCCUCUAAUACGCUAGUAAUUGUCUCCUUUCCCGUAUUUCUCUUAGUCUCACUCCCAUACACUUCAUGAUCAGAGGGAGGGAAUGUUAGCAGCCAUGGUGGCAGUGUCCCCUUCGGCCGUUCAUGCAACUUGAGAGGAUGAAGCCUCUAGUGAUGUCGCGCGAAAGGCAUCUGCACCAGUGAGUUUGCCACCAUCCUAGCCGUGACGACAAUGCGACAGAGCAUAUAGUGGAGGGCAGAGCAAGACGGCCGAGGGAGAUGGCUCAUCAGAAGAAUACACGACACGCGGAUGACCAGUGUAGUAGAGAAGAGGAUGAGGGGGAAUCACUGGGGAAGCCUCAGGGGACGAGCCAGGUGAGGUAGUCUCAGGUAAUGAACGAGGCGAGAAAGCCGCAGGUGAUGACGAGCUUGAUAAAGAAGCGGUUAGAGGUAGAAGAAACCUCAAUCCCUAGGAAGUAGCGAAGAGGACCAAGAUCAGACAUAAGAAACCCAAUAUGAUGAGCCUUCACAAAGGCAAUGUACUUAGAGUCAUUGCAGAGAUGAUCGACAUAUAGAAGAAGAGUUUGACCACGAGUUGAAAGGUGGACAAGAAUUGUAGGAUCAUGAGAUCGCCGAAAACUAGCCGCAAUCACCACUGAGACAAAAUGCUCAAACUAGGCACGAAGGGUUUGCUUAAGGCCAUAAAAGAGCGAUGAAGACGACAAACCAUGCCAUCAGGAAGAGAAUACCUAGGUGGUGGCUAUAUGUAGACCUCAUGCAACAGGGAGGAAGAUAAAUGAUAUCCCACAUGCCUAUUCGCGCAAGAGCAACAAUCUCCUCUACAAUGCAUGCUGCUAUUCAUGAUGAACAAAUGCGUCAGACUAAGAAGUCGUCUCGAGAAAAGCGACGAUGGAAUAACCAAUAACCAUAGCGGCCAAUAGGCAAAAGCGAGCAAGCUCGGAAGCCAUAAGUAGGCCGAGCUUUAGGUGGUGCAUUGCCAACAAGAAAGGCCAUAGUAGUCGAGGGAGAUGGCUCAUUAGAAGGAUCCACAACACAUGGACCACAAGUGUAGUGAAGAAGAUGAUAAAGGGGAAUCAUCGGGGAAACCUCAUGGAUGAGCGAGGUGAGGUCGCCUCAGGUAAUGAACGAGGUGGGGAAGCCGCACGUGGCGACGUGUGGGGUCUAUAACAGUAGUACGUGAGGAUAAGCUAGGAUAGGUGAGCGAGGGCAAUAAAUGAGUGAUAAGUGUAUUAGGAGAACUGAGGGAAGAAAUAUCCUCAAUGGGGGAGGCCGAAGGAGAGGAUGGACGUGGAUAGAAAGGACGAGACUCAAUCAAAAGUCACAUCAAGAAAUGCCCAUCCGAUGACUAACAAGAUCCCAACACUGAUAGCCCUUGUGCUCAUCACUGUAACCUAAGAAGACACAUUCAACAGAUUGAUCAAACAGUUUGGUUCGUGAAGAACGUAGCAAACACAACCAAACAAAUGAAGUGUUUAGUAGUUAGGAGAGAGUGCUCAUAAAGACGCUCGAGAGGAAUGUCGCCAUGUAGAGCCGAGGAAGGAUGAAUGUUGAUGAGAUAGGUGGCCACGAUCAACGCGCUAGCCGCCUCACGAAUGUGACGAUGCUUGCGCUCAACAACCCCAUUCCAAGCAUGAGCCCGGGACAAGAGAACUGAGCUAGUGUGCUUUGCUCAACAAGGAAUCUGGGCAGCAAAUGAGAGUUACACACAAGCAGAAUCUGCACGAAAGACAUGGAUAAUAGUGGAAAACUGGGUAUGAACCAAGGCGGCAAACUUCUUAUAGAUAGAUAAGACCUCACUAGAAGAAGACAUAAAAUAUAUCGACUUGUGUCGAGAGAAGUAAUUGUAAAGAUAAUAUAGUGGCGAUGACCUCCUUUAGAGGCGAAGGGAGCUGGGUCCCAAACAUUAGAGUGAACAAGAUUGGAAGGACACUGUGACAUAGUCUCGCUAUGAGGAUAUGGUAACUGAACGUGUUUACCUAGCCGACAAACUUGACCGUCUAAAGUUACAUUGCGAGAGACAGAUCCUAGAAGACCACAUCGUUCUAAGGAUGAGAGAUGAGAGCCACACAUGUGACUGAGACAAUGAUGCCACAAAGAGUCGGUAGACAAGGUAAGAGAGUCGAAGAGACUGGCGGAUGUGGUAGCGGAAGGAAGAAGAAACCUGGCAAGCUUCAGAGGCCGUGCGAGUCACAACGUUGAGGGCCAACACCAAGUAGAGCACCCGUGUGCCGAUCCUAAAUCAGAACAAGAGUCAAAGUCAAGAAUAUUGGAAUAAUAAAAAUAUUGUUUGGUUCAAUGAUACAUCUGCUUGGGUUCUAGGACGGAGUUAAACUUGAGAUUGGGCACUUGGAUUUGUGAUAUUUAGGGUGUAAACAUGAGCUUGAAACUGGAGAACGGUGUAACAUGAUCAACCUGAGAUAUAUUGAAUUUAUAUAGGUAUAGUAUGAUUAGCAUGAAUGCGGUAUUGAUGGACUUUUGGAUCAUCUUGGAUAUUACUAGUUGGAUUCUAGGUUAGAGAUAACUUGAGCACUUGGAUUUGUGAUAUUUUGACCUAAGCAUAGUAGCUUGUAUGGUGCCCCAAAUGGAUAUGGGCAUGCAGAUGAUCCGAUCGUAGUUGGUAGACCGCGAUGAUUUUGCUAGCCCUCCCCAAGAAUGUUACCAGUACAAGAUCAUCAUGGGAGGAUGAUUUGGAUGAAUUAGAAUAAAUGACAAUUUCAGUGGUAUGAGUCUUGUUGGAGCAGUUGAUGUUGCUUUUAUUAUGUGUUUGUGGUUCUUUAGAUCAGUAGUAAGAGGAGGGUACGGCUUAUGAAGUGAUAUUAUAUUGGUGAAUAAAUAGAUCUUUACUAACCUUGAAACAGUUUGGAUUUACUUAGAUUAUUGUGAUCUUGAAAAAAAUCUGCUGGAUAAAUAACUUCUAAUUUUUGGAUCUAUAGUCAUCCAGUGGAAGCUUGCUUUAUACUGGACUUAGAUAACAAUGAUAGUGGGCUUGGCUGGAUCAUAAUUAUGAUUUGCACUAGAUGCACACUUUUAGAGAUUGAAACUAGAGAACUUUAGGGUGUAGUAUGAUCAGUCGAAGAUAUAUUGGAUUUAAUAUGAAUAUAAAUGAUCAACGUGAUUGUGAAAAUUGAUGGAAGAACACAAAGAUAUUCGAGUAACAAAAAUGUUGUUUGUGUUAGGUCCAAUGAUAUAUCUGCUUGGAUUCUAGUUCUAGGUCGGAGUUAAACUUGAGAUUGGGCACUUGGGUUUGUGAUAUUUUGACAUAAGGUUCAAAACCGGAGAACUUAGGGUGUAGCUUGAUCAACCUGUGAUGUAUUGAAUUUACAUAGGUAUAGUAUGAUUAGCAUGCAUGCGGUAUUGGUGGACUAUUGGAUGAUCUUAGAUAUUACUAGUUGGAUUCUAGGUUGGAGAUAACAUGAGCACCUGGAUUUGUGAUAUUUUGACCUAAGCUUAGUAGCUUGUAUGCGCCCCAUAUGGAUAUGAGCAUGGAGAUGAUACAAACGGAUUGUAGUUGGUAGACAUUGAUGAUUUUAGCUAGCCCUCACCUAUAAUGUUACGAGUACAAAAUCAUCAUGGGAGGUGGUUUGGAUUAAUUAGAAUAGAUGAUCAUUUCAGUGGUAUGAGCCUUGUUGGAGCAGCUGAUCUUGCUUUUAUUAUAUGUCUGUGCUCCUUUAGAUGCAGUAGGAGGAGGAGGGUAGUAAUUAUGACGUGAUAUUAUAUUGGUGGAUAAAUACAUCUAUAAUAACCUUGGAACAGUUUGGAUUUACUUAGAUGAUUGUAAUCUUGAAAACAAAUCUGGUGGAUAGAUAACUUUUAAUUUUUGGAUAUAUAGUCAUCCAGUGGAAGCUUUACUCGAUCGCUUGAAGAUCGACAUUGCCGCAACGGCUUGGCGCAAAGCCCGAUGUGGCUGAUAGGGUUUUCACCCUCUCGCACACCUCCCGUGCAUUGUUCCUUCCCCGCCAAUUCGGCUUGGUGUCCUUCUAUUGUUUGCGGGUUCUGUGCCACUGACUUGAUCCGGCAUCACACGUUCUCUCGACAUGUGUCCUUGGCCGUGGCGGUAGGCAACGUCGUGCUCUCGGGCUGUGUCUCGUGGGUUAGCCAUUGUGGUGUCGACUGCCUAUGUGGCUAUGGAGGCACCCAGCAGGGAAACACGAGAUGUUGUGGGAUUGAGGCAUCACACAUAGCAACCCGUAGCCAGGCAAAGGAUGCUGGUCGGACUAGCAGGGAGCGGAUUGCACAUGAGGUAUGGUGGAAGGGAUGAAAACGUUGGUGGGAGCGGACUGUCAGAGCCAAGCAUCGAGGGGAUGGUGAUCGGGAAAGGUGGAAAGAUGGUUGGAUCAUAGUUAUAAUUACUACUAGAUUCACACCUUUAGAGAUUCAAACUGUAGAACUUUAGGGUGUAGUAUGAUCAAUCGGAGAUAUAUUGGAUUUAUAUGAGUGUAAUAAUGAUCAGCAUGAUUGUGAAAAUUGAUUGCCUAUUACAUCAUCUCUGAUUGAAUAGUAGGAAGAAAACAAAGAUAUUAGAGUAAUAGAAAUGUUUGUUUGUGUUUGGCUCAAUGAUAUUUCCGCUUGGAUUCUAGGUUGGUGUUAAACUUGACGCACUUGGAUUUGUGAUAUUUUCACAUGAGCCUGAAACUGGAGAACUUUAGGGUGUAGCAUCAUCAACCUGAGAUGUAUUGGAUUUAUAUAGGUAUAGUAUAUGACUAGCUUGAAUGCGGUAUUGGGGGGGGGGGACUAUUGAAUGGUUUUGGAUAUUACUAGUUGGAUUUUAGGUUGGAGAUAACUUGAGCACUUGGAUUUGUGAUAUUUUAACCUAAGCUUAGUAGCUUGUAUGUGACCCAUAUGGAUAUGAGCAUGAAGAUGAUACAAACAGAUCAUAGUUGGUAGACUUUGAUAAUUUUGCUAGCCUUCCCAAAGAAUGUUACGAGUAGAAGAUCAUGGGAUGAUGAUUUGGUCUAAUUAGAAUAGAUGACAAUUUUAGUGGUAUGAGCCUUGUUGGAGCAGCUGUUGUUGCUUUUAUUAUGUGUUUGUGCUCCUUUAGAUGGAGUAGUAGAAGGGUAUGACUUAUGAAGUGAUAUUAUAUUGGUGGAUAAAUAGAUCUUUAUUAACCUUGGAACAAUUUGGAUUUACUUGGAUUAUUGUGAUUUUGAAAAAAAUUGGUGGAUAAUAAAUUCUAAUUUUUGGAUCUAUAGUCAUCUAGUGGAGCUUGCUUUAUACUGGACUUAGUUAACCAUGAUAGUGGGCUUGGUUGGAUCAUAGUUAUGAUUUGUACUAGAUGCACACUUUUAGAGAUUGAAACUGGAGAACUUUAGGGUGUAGUUUGAUCAAUCGGAGACAUUGGAUUUAAUAUGAAUAUAAUGUGAUCAACGAUGAUUGUGAAAACUGAUGGAAGGAAACAAAGAUAUUGGAGUAAUAGAAAUGUUGUUUGUGUUAGGUUCAAGAUAUAUUUGAUUGGAGUCUAGUUCUAGGUCGGAGCUAAACUUGAGAUUGGGCACUUAGAUUUGUGAUAUUUUGACAUGAGCUUCAAAACUGGAAAACUUUAGGGUGUAGCAUGAUCAACCUGAGAUAUAUUGGAUUUAUAUUGGCAUAGUAUGAUAAGCAUGAAUGCGGUAUUGAUGGACUAUUGGAUGAUCUUGGAUAUUACCAAUCAGAUUCUAGGUUGGAGAUAACAUGAGCACCUGGAUUUGUGAUAUUUUGACCUAAACUUAAUAGCUUGUAUGCACCCCAUAUGGAUAUGAGUAUGAAGAUCAUAUAAACGGAUUGUAGUUGGUAGACUUUGAUGAUUUUGCUAGCCCUCCCCAAGAAUGUUACGAGUACAAGAUCAUGGGAGAAUGAUUUGGAUUCAAUAGAAUAGAUGAUAAUUUCAGUGGUAUGAGCCUUUUUUGUGCGGGUAUGAGCCUUGUUGGAGUAGCUGAUCUUGCUUUUAUUAUGUGUUUGUGCUCCUUCAGAUGCAGUAGUAGGAGGGUAGUAGUUGUGAUGUGAUAUCAUAAUUGUGGAUAAAUACAUCUUUAAUAACCUUGGAACAUUUUGGAUUUACUUAGACGAUUGUGAUCUUGAAAACAAAUUUGGUGGAUAAAUAACUUCUAGUUGUUGGAUCUAUAGUAAUCCUGCGGAGGCUGAGGUAGUUGCAGAGGAGCGAUGAGAAAGCACAUGAGAAGCUUUACUCAAUCGCCUGAAGUCGACAUUGCCGCAACGGCUUGGCGCAAAGCUCGAUGCGGCUGAUAGGAGUUUCACCCUCUCGCACACCUCUCAUGCAUUGUUCCUUUCCCGCCAAUUCGGCUUGGUGUCCUUCCCUUGUUUGCGGGUUCCGUUCCACUGACUUGAUCCGGCAUCACACGUUCUCCUGCCGUGUGUCCUUGGCCUUGGCGGUAGGUAACGUCGUGCUCUCGGGCUGUGUCUCGUGGGUUAGCCAUUGCGGUGCCAACUGCCUUUGUGGCUAUGGCGGCACCCAGCAGGGGAACACGAGAUGUGGGAUUGAGGCAUCGCACAUAGCAACCUGAAGCCAGGGAAAGGAUGGCGGUCGGACUGGCAGGGAGCGGAUUGCACAUGAGGUAUGGUGGAAGGGAUGAAAACGUUGGUGGGAGCGUACUUGGAGCCAAGCGUCGAAGGGAUGGCGUUUGGGGAAGGUGGAAAGAUGGUUGGAUCAUAGUUAUGAUUACGACUAGAUUCACACCUUUAGAGAUUGAAACCGGAGAACUUUAGGUUGUAGCAUGAUCAAUCUGAGAUGUAUUGGAUUUAUAUAGGUGCAGUAUGAUUAGCAUGAGUGCGGUAUUGGUGGACUAUUGGAUGAUCUUGGAUAUUACUAGUUGGAUUCUAGGUUGGAGAUAGCACUUGGAUUUGUGAUAUUUUGACCUAUGCUUAGUAGCUUGUAUGUGCUCGAUAUGCAUAUGAGCAUGGAGAUGAUACAAAUGGAUCAUAGUUGGUAGACUUUGAUGAUUUUGCUAGCCCUCCCCAAGAAUAUUACGAGUACAAGAUUAUCAUGGGAGGAUGAUUUGGAUUAAUUAGAAUAGAUGACAAUUUCAGUGGUAUGAACCUUGUUGGAGCAGUUGAUCUUACUUUUAUUAUGUGUUUGUGCUCCUUUAGAUGCAGUAGUAGGAGGAGACUAGUACUUAUGAAGUGAUAUUAUAUUGGUGGAUAAAUAGAUCUGUAAUAAUCUUGGAACUGUUUGGAUUUACUUAGAUGAUUGUGAUCUUGAAAAAAAAUCUAAUGGAUAGUUGUAUUCUAGGUUGGAGAUAACUUGAGCACUUGGAUUUGUGAUAUUUUAACCUAAGCUUAGUAGCUUGUAUGUGAUCCAUAUGGAUAUGCGCAUGGAGAUGAUACAAACGGAUCGUAGUUGGUAGACUUUGAUGAUUUUGCUAGCCUUCCCAAAGAAUGUUACCAGUACAAGAUCAUCAUGGGAGGAUGAUAUGGAUUAAUUAGAAUAGAUGACAAUUUCAGUGGUAUGAGCCUUCUUGGAGCAGUUGAUGUUGAUUUUAUUAUGUGUUUGUGCUCCUUUAGAUGCAGUAGUAGAAGGUUAUGACUUAUGAAGCGAUAUUAUAUUUGUGGAUAAAUAGAUCUGUAUUAACCUUGAAACAGUUUGGAUUUACUUGGAUGAUUGUGAUCUUGAAAAAAAUCUGGUGGAUAAUGAAUUCUAAUUUUUGGAUCUAUAGUCAUGCAAUGGAGCUUGCUUUAUAGUAGACUUAGAUAACCAUGAUAGUGGGCUUGGUUGGAUCGUAGUUAUGAUUUGUACUAGAUGCACACUUUUAGAGAUUGAAACUAGAGAACUUUAGGGUGUAGUUUGAUCAAUCGAAGAUAUAUUGGAUUUAAUAUGAAUAUAAUGUGAUCAGCGUGAUUAUGAAAAUUGAUGGAAGAAAACAAAGAUAUUGGAGUAAUAGAAAUGUUGUUUGUGUUAGGUUCAAGAUAUAUCUGAUUGGAUUCUAGUUCUAGGUGGGAGCUAAACUUGAGAUUGGGCACUUAAAUUUGUGAUAUUUUGACAUGAGCUUCAAAACUGGAGAACUUUAGGGUGUAGCAUGAACAACCUGAGAUAUAUUGGAUUUAUAUUGGCAUAGUAUGAUACGCAUGAAUGCGGUAUUGAUGGACCAUUGGAUGAUCUUGGAUAUUACCAAUCGGAUUCUAGGUUGGAGAUAACAUGAACACCUGGAUUUGUGAUAUUUUGACCUAAACUUAAUAGCUUGUAUGCACGCCAUAUGGAUAUGAGUAUGGAGAUCAUACAAACGGAUUGUAGUUGGUAGACUUUGAUGAUUUUGCCAGCCCUCCCCAAGAAUGUUACGAGUACAAAAUCAUCAUGGGAGAAUGAUUUGGAUUCAAUAGAAUAGAUGAUAAUUUCAGUGGUAUGAGCCUUGUUGGAGUAGCUGAUCUUGCUUUUAUUAUGUGUUUGUGCUCCUUUAGAUGAAGUAGUAGUAGGAGGGUAGUAGUUAUGAUGUGAUAUCAUAAUUGUGGAUAAAUACAUCUUUAAUAACCUUGGAACAUUUUGGAUUUACUUAGACGAUUGUGAUCUUGAAAACAAAUUUGGUGGAUAAAUAACUUCUAAUUGUUGGAUCUAUAGUAAUCCAGCGGAGGCUGAGGUAGUUGCAGAGGAGCGAUGAGAAAGCACAUGAGAAGCUUUACUCGAUCGCCUGAAGAUCGACAUUGCCGCAACGGCUUGGCGCAAAGCUCGAUGCGGCUGAUAGGGUUUUCACCCUCUCGCACACCUCUCAUGCAUUGUUCCUUUCCCGCCAAUUCGGCUUGGUGUCCUUCCCUUGUUUGCGGGUUCCAUGCCACUGACUUGAUCCGGCAUCACACGUUCUCCCGCCGUGUGUCCUUGGCCUUGGCGGUAGGUAACGUCGUGCUCUCGGGCUGUGUCUCGUGGGUUAGCCAUUGCGGUGCCAACUGCCUUUGUGGCUAUGGCGGCACCCAGCAGGGGAACACGAGAUGUGGGAUUGAGGCAUCGCACAUAGCAACCUGAAGCCAAGAAAAGGAUGGCGGUCGGACUGGCAGGGAGCGGAUUGCACAUGAGGUAUGGUGGAAGGGAUGAAAACGUUGGUGGGAGCGUACUUGGAGCCAAGCGUCGAAGGGAUGGCGAUUGGGGAAGGUCGAAAGAUGGUUGGAUCAUAGUUAUGAUUAUUACUAGAUUCACACCUUUAGAGAUUGAAACCGGAGAACUUUAGGUUGUAGCAUGAUCAAUCUGAGAUGUAUUGGAUUUGUAUAUGUAUAGUAUGAUUAGCAUGAGUGCGGUAUUGGUGGACUAUUGGAUGAUCUUGGAUAUUACUAGUUGGAUUUUAGGUUGGAUAUAACUUGAGCACUUGGAUUUGUGAUAUUUUAACCUAAGCUUAGUAGCUUGUAUGUGCUCGAUAUGUAUAUGAGCAUGGAGAUGAUACAAAUGGAUUGUAGUUGGUAGACUUUGAUGAUUUUGCUAGCCCUCCCCAAGAAUAUUACAAGUACAAGAUUAUCAUGGGAGGAUGAUUUGGAUUAAUUAGAAUAGAUGACAAUUUCAGUGGUAUGAACCUUGUUGGAGCAGUUGAUCUUACUUUUAUUAUGUGUUUGUGCUCCUUUAGAUGCAGUAGUAGGAGGAGACUAGUACUUAUGAAGUGAUAUUAUAUUGGUGGAUAAAUAGUUUUUCUGUUUGGAUUUACCUAGAUGAUUGUGAUCUUGAAAAAAAAUCUGGUGGAUAGUUGUAUUCUAGGUUGGAGAUAACUUGAGCACUUGGAUUUGUGAUAUUUUAACCUAAGCUUAGUAGCUUGUAUGUGACCCAUAUGGAUAUGCGCAUGGAGAUGAUACAAACGGAUCGUAGUUGGUAGACUUUGAUGGUUUUGGUAGCCCUCCCCAACGAGUACAAUAUCAUCAUGGGAGAAUGAUUUGGAUUAAUUAGAAUAGAUGACAAUUUCAGUGGUGUGAGCCUUGUUGGAGCAGCUGAUCUAGCUUUUAUUAUUUGUUUUUGCUCCUUUACAUGCAGUAGUAGGAGGAGACUAGUACUUAUGAAGUGAUAUUAUAUUGGUGGAUAAAUAGAUUUUAAUAACCUUGGAACGGUUUGGAUUUGCUAAGAUGGUGAUCUUGGAAAAAAUCUGGUGGAUAAAUAACUUCUAAUUUUUGGAUCUAGUCAUCCGGUGGAAGCUUGCUUUAUACGGGACUUAGAUAACCAUGAUAGUGGACUUGGUUUGGAUCAUAGUUAUGAUUUAUACUAGAUGCACACUUUUAGAGAUUGAAACCGGAGAACUUUAGGGUGUAGUAUGAUCAAUCGGAGAUAUAUUGGAUUUAUAUAUGUAAUAUUAUCAACAUGAUUGUGAAAAUUGAUGAACUAUUACAUCAUCUUGGAUUGCAUUAGUAGGAAGAAAACAAAGAUUUUCGAGUAAUAGAAAUGUUAUUUGUCUUAGGUUUAAUGAUAUAUGCGCUUGGAUUCUAGGUGGAGUUAAACUUGAGAUUGGGCACUUGUAUUUAUGUUAUUUUGACAUGAGUUUUUAACCGGAGAACUUUAGGGUGUAGCAUGAUCAACCUGAGAUAUAUUGAAUUUAUAUAGGUAUAAUAUGAUUAGCAUGAAUACCUAUUGGUGGACUAUUGGAUGAUCUUGGAUAUUAUUAGUUGGAUUUUAGGUUGGAUAUAACAUGAGCACCUGGAUUUGGGAUAUUUUGACCUAACCUUAGUAGCUUGUAUGCGCCCCAUAUGGAUACGAGCAUCCAGAAACAAGAACCUAGGGGAAAACCAUGCUCUCACAACGAUUAGGCAGAUCUGGCCUUUCGUUUCAUUGGCUUGAUGCGUUUUCGGCCGUUGGAUCUCGCUUCUAGACGAUCUGGGCCGCUGGAUCAAGAAAUGGCGCUGUAGGAAUGAAUAGUUAUCUCUCGUUCGUGCCACCGCGCGUAAUUACUGUGCCCCGUCGAGGGCAUUUUUGUCAUUUCGCGUACUCCUUCAUAAAAAGGAAGCAACGUGGUCACUGGAAACCUAGCCUCUUCCUCACUCGCGCCUCCUUCCCCAUCCUCGCAUCCCAGCCCCAUCCCCUAACCCUAGCUCCUCCCGCCGUUGCCCGUCCUCCCGCAGCCCAUCCCGUCGCCAGGCGCGCGCUGCCGCCACCCUUCUUCCUCCCCUCCUACCAUUCCCCUCCCCCAGGCCCGUCUUGAUCGACCAAGCUCAGGCACGCCGUCGGCUCCCGAGCCCUCCUGCUCCGACCCCGCAUAGGGCGCGUCAAUGGCCGGAGCAGAGGAGGAGAUCCAGGGUUCGACUACAAACCCGCUACGGCCAGCUCCUCUUCCCCUCGUUUCUUGCUUCUCAGCUGUCAGGAGUGAGCUGCCUCUGCCGGUGCUUCUGCUGGGUCGGGUUCAUGGUUUGCUUCCUGCGAGUUGGUUGACUUCGAGUGAGGGAGGAGAUUUUUCUGGAGAUUGUUGUCCUCAUGAGACGGACGUGAGGAGGGGCGCGGCAGCGAAGGGGAGGGACUAGUUCCCCGUCGUCAUGCGGGCACGCAUGCUGUGUAUUUAGGAGGCUCGGUCCUCCUCUGGACUUGGCUCCGGCGCCAUGUUGUUGUUACUGAUCUUUGUAGCGUUGCAGGUUCCGGCCGGAUCUGAGAGUAAAAGUGACAGUACCACUACCACCUCUUCCGUCUACAUUUCCUUCUAGGAGGCGCUUCAGAUCAAAUCGGGCAUUAAAACACGGCUUCAGAUGCUGGUCCUGUUACUUUUGCUUCAGGGUAGGCUUCAAACUUUGGCUGAUUAGGAUCGACUGUAAUUCAUUUUUCCUUUUGAGUGUCGGCUGUAAUUUUUGGUGCAGGGAGAACACAUUCUUGUCAGAAAGCCUCAGGUUUGGCACCCAAGACGGACGCCUGUAUAGGCCUACAGGUACACAAUGAUGAUGAGGUCAGAGCCUUGUUUAAGCAAGUGCAAGAAGUCCCUGGAUCUUCUAUAAUUAUUAUGAAGGUGGCAUCUCAGAGCUGACAUCUAGAGGAUCAGUUGCUCCGUGACAAGCAUGGCAACAUGGCAUCACUGCAAAGUCGAGACUGUAGCGUUCAAAGAAGGCACCAAAAGGUUAGUGUGUAUUGGUAGAAGUUCUACAGCUUCAGGGAACUAAAACUUCAUUGGACGAUGUAGCAAUCAUAUACUGUUUAGCAAAGUGCAAAAUGUUGCAGGAGCUAUAUAAAAUUUAAGUCUUAGCAUUUUCUUCAAUGGAAUCAUUUAUUGCUGUCAGUUAUACUUAUACUGUACUAAAUAGUUGAAUGUUGCAUUUCGAAUUCAAGAACAAACUUUUUCUUCCUAUAUUGAAUAUUGAUAUAUGUGUCGGGAUGCUGAGGGGAUUCGGCCGGUCUCUCCCUGAGCUAGCGUGCCGCCGAACGGCAGGGGCCAUUUCGACUUGGUUUCUGGCGUGCGACCGAGAUCUGCUCUGUGCAGUGCUGGAAAACUAGACGGUUUCAAUCGAGAUCUGUUCGUUCGUUCGAUCGAAGCUGAUUCAGUUGAGCCCUUAUAUUGUUGUUGUGGCUUCCAAUAAUUGAUGCGUAACAGUUCUGAGAUACACAUACUGAUGCUCCUUCAUGCAAUCAACUAGCUAAGCUAGGUUAACAUUUGGUCUUCCAAAUGGAUACUAGCCCCACCAACAUUAGGGAUUCACUUUAGCUAUAUCAUCAUUAGUAGAUUCUCUGGUUAGUUUUUGCACUUCUCCAUCUCAAACUUGCUAAUUCCGUUUAUUAGUAUUUUGUAUCAUUAUCUUAACCUUGGUAGGCUGAUGGUUGAUUUUGUACUCCCUUUUGUAUAUUAUCCCUUUUGCAUUCUGAGUUUAUUUUUUUCAUAUGUGUUCAUCAAAUUCGGCCUCUGGGUGGCAGGAUUAGCCGAUUUAAAGCAUUCUCUGCGCAAACAUUAGUCGCUGCUAUCCAAAAACCUGUAGAACUAGCUUGCUGUAUAAUUAUUUUAACUCACAUACAUAACGGGUAAAUAAGCACAAAUUGAAAAGGAACCCCUAGGUUUUCUUUAGGUGUGCUCAUUUUUAUACAUUAGUAGAUAGAGUUACAUAAGUUUGCCUCUACCACUACUGAUAUCAGCAAUAAAAUUUAACUGCUUUUUAGUUCUAGGUUGAAAAUGAUGCUGAAGUUCUAAAGAUUCUGUUUGACUGGAUUUUCUUAUUGAUGUGCAGCUGAAUUAGGGAAGGAUGCCGGAGUUACAUGUACACAACCCUUAUUCUGCUAACUAUGGCUCUCUUUUGUUGAUCGCUUGCCUUUUGGAAGCUGUUGGCCUUUGGUUACCCCAAGGGGAAAUUUUCUGGCUUGCUUCACGGGCCGUAGCUCCUCCUUCCCCAACCCCACUUUGUCUCCCCUGUGAUUUGCCUGUUCCUGAUCUUAGUGGCUGGCAUGUCUCAAAUUUUCAUUGGGCAGGGCUACUAACGUAAAGGAGCAAACUGGAAAUUCCACCUGCAUAUUUUAGGCAAUUAUUCAUGUUUUGUAAACCCUUUGUGUGCAUAUGGUAAGCAUGAACUUGUCCCUGCAGCUCAUGAUAAGAGUAGGACCUUAAAUUCGCCAGAAUGAGUUCUUAUUUUGAUUAUCUAUGAAGUCUUAUUUUGAUUAUCUUUCACUUUACUAUAAGAUAAUAAAUCUGGGAAGCUAAAGCUUAACAAGUUUCAAAAUGAGUUUGCCUCCUUUCUCACUCUAUAUAUUGUAUUCUUUGGUCAUUUUAUACCAAGAUCUUGCCCAUGUCCCUGAACUUGUUGAUUUUGUAGGGUUCUUGCAGAUCAUGUUGGCCAUUCCGGGGCAUUGGAGUGGGCCAACUUCGUGACGACGGGCAAGAUGGAGCUGAUCGGCUGCUCGGCGGCGACCAUGAGGUGAGGCAUGGUGCCAGUGGCAGCGGGUGCAGGAAGCAGCAACAUUAGAGAUGGGCACCGAGGUACACUGUUCACUCCCUCUGAAGGAAGAAUCGAUGUAGUAGCUAGCAUUCAUUUUUAGAUGCUAUGUAUCUUUCUGAUUGUUUGGGCAGUAGAGAGCUAUUUAUCUGUAAACAUCUGCAGUAGAGAGCUAUGUAUCUGUAAACAUUAAAUAUUGUUGCAUCAAAGAGCAGUAGCACCUCCUUGUCAUUGUCAAUACCUGUUGAUAUUGUGUAGUGCAUCAUGAUCAGCUACACUGCAAACAUCUGCAAAUAUUACUCUUGCGUUAA